CUGGCGGCGUGCCUAACACAUGCAAGUCGAGCGAGGAGAUCCUUCGGGAUGAUCCUAGCGGCGGACGGGUGAGUAACACGUGGGCAACCUGCCUCAUAGAGAGGAAUAGCCUUCCGAAAGGGAGAUUAAUACCUCAUAACAUUGCAGUUUCGCAUGGAACAGCAAUUAAAGGAGUAAUCCGCUAUGAGAUGGGCCCGCGGCGCAUUAGCUAGUUGGUGAGGUAACGGCUCACCAAGGCGACGAUGCGUAGCCGACCUGAGAGGGUGAUCGGCCACAUUGGGACUGAGACACGGCCCAGACUCCUACGGGAGGCAGCAGUGGGGAAUAUUGCACAAUGGGGGAAACCCUGAUGCCAGCAACGCCGCGUGAGUGAUGACGGCCUUCGGGUUGUAAAGCUCUGUCUUCAGGGACGAUAAUGACGGUACCUGAGGAGGAAGCCACGGCUAACUACGUGCCAGCCGCGGC
rnacentral:rRNA from 1 species